UGUGAAAGAUGUGGUCAAGAAGGAGGUUAUGAUGGCUUGAUCGUUUAUUAUUCUACCAAAAUUGGGAUAGAAAGAACUGAUGAGUCAUUUGAUAGUCGAAGAGACCCAGAACAUCACACAGGAAAUUCUCCCCUUAUUGAACUGCAAACAAAAUUUAUUUCACAAUUUCCUAUGGAUAGUUUAAUGUCCUGCAUUUAUGAAAACUUAGCAACACAUCAAUAUAACUUUUUGCUAAUAACUUUUUUUUCUGUACAGGUAUCCCAUUUUAGUGUUGUAGCUGGGAGAGAGAUACACGAAGGAGAAAUGGCUACUAGUAUAUGUAAGAAGAUUUUCUCUCCUGAGGUUGCAUCACAACUGAAUUGGACAGGGACAGAGAUAAAAAAAGGAAUCAAGUCACUAAAGUGCGGUACGUGCAUUAUUGAUGCAUGUGGCAAACAAUAUAAAGGAAAUUUUUCGAGAUCAAAAGUCACAGGCUCCAUAAGUACGUGGCUUCGAAGUAAUUCAAAGAGGAGAGCCAUAAAUAAUGUUGAUUUGCCAAGAUAAUAAAGAUUUUUCAAAGGUUGAUUACCUCCCCUAUAGGUGACAAGAGCAGGUAACAACGAAAGCGGGACUAUAUACACGAGUGGUUAUAACCAAGAUGAGUCGAUAUUCGCACGGCUAUCCGUAAAUGCAGCGCAGA